rnacentral:pre_miRNA from 1 species
AAAAAGACAAACCAUGGGUUUACGUGUCCAACGUUUGACCGUCCGUCUUAUUUGAAAAAAUUAAAAAGACAAGUCACGCAUUAAGUAUUAAUCAUGUUUUAUUAUCUAACAAUAAUAAAAAUACUAAUUAUAAAAAAAUUUCAUAUAAGAUGGACAGUCAAACGUUGGACACGGAAACCCAGGGUUUGCCUUUUU